rnacentral:misc_RNA from 1 species
UUAAGUUCAGCGGGUAUCCCUACCUGAUCCGAGGUCAACCAUAGAAAUUGAAGUCUUGCCGGAAGCACGCUGAGCACCUGUAACGAGAGAUGUUACUACGUUCAGGACCCAGCGGCGCCGCCACUGAUUUUAGAGCCUGCCAUCGCUGACAUGGACUCAAUACCAAGCUGAGCUUGAGGGUUGAAAUGACGCUCGAACAG